rnacentral:lncRNA from 1 species
GUAGAAAAAGACUGGUAUAAAAUCCAAUAUAGGAAGUAGUGAAGCCCAGCAUAGUAAUAACUAAACACCCAACAGUAAACACACUGAAGUAUGAAAGCUAGUUCAUUAACUGAUUAGAUGAAUAAAGCCUCCAGUGAUAUAAAGGAUAACAACAUCCUAGCUUUGCUCAAAUAAAGAGAUGCAAUAUGCAAUGGAGGCAAGACCACUUGAACACAUGAAACAUCUGAACAACACACUAC